rnacentral:rRNA from 1 species
GAUGAACGCUGACAGAAUGCUUAACACAUGCAAGUCAACUUGAAUUUGGGUUUUUAACUUAGGUUUGGGUGGCGGACGGGUGAGUAACGCGUAAAGAACUUGCCUCACAGCUAGGGACAACAUUUGGAAACGAAUGCUAAUACCUAAUAUUAUGAUAAUAGGGCAUCCUAUAAUUAUGAAAGCUAUAAGCGCUGUGAGAGAGCUUUGCGUCCCAUUAGCUAGUUGGAGAGGUAACGGCUCACCAAGGCGAUGAUGGGUAGCCGGCCUGAGAGGGUGAUCGGCCACAAGGGGACUGAGACACGGCCCUUACUCCUGCGGGAGGCAGCAGUGGGGAAUAUUGGACAAUGGACCGAGAGUCUGAUCCAGCAAUUCUGUGUGCACGAUGAAGUUUUUCGGAAUGUAAAGUGCUUUCAGUUGGGAAGAAACAAAUGACGGUACCAACAGAAGAAGUGACGGCUAAAUACGUG